UGCCCAGCAACUCCUAUCCCUACCUCCUCGCGGUACUGGCCGGGGUACGAGUAACCUUAGGGAAGAUCGGGUAACCAACCCCCGGUGGUAACUUUGGUCGUAUGCUGACAGGGAAGG
rnacentral:ribozyme from 1 species